rnacentral:tRNA from 1 species
GCCGGGCUAGCUCAGUCGGCAGAGCAUGAGACUCUUGAUCUCAGAGCGUGGGUCGAGGCCACACGUUUGCCU